rnacentral:rRNA from 1 species
GGGUAGCCUCGGGAAACCGGGAUUAAUACCAAAUAAAAUCAUAAUGACACAUGUCAUAACGAUCAAAACUCCGGUGGUCUAAGAUGGACUCGCGUCCCAUUAGCUAGUUGGUAGAGUAAAAGCCUACCAAGGCGACGAUGGGUAGCCGGCCUGAGAGGGUGAACGGCCACAUUGGAACUGAGAAACGGUCCAA